UACAGAGGUCCCGAGCGUUGUUCGGAUUUAUUGGGCGUAAAGGGUGCGUAGGCGGCGGAGUAAGUUGGGUGUGAAAUCCCGGGGCUCAACCUCGGAAUGGCAUUCAAUACUGCUUCGCUAGAGUACUGGAGAGGAGGCUGGAAUUUACGGUGUAGCAGUGAAAUGCGUAGAUAUCGUAAGGAAGGCCGGUGGCGAAAGCGAGCCUCUGGACAGUUACUGACGCUGAUGCACGAAGGCCAAGGGGAGCAAACGGG
rnacentral:rRNA from 1 species